GAUGAACGCUAGCGGGAGGCCUAACACAUGCAAGCCGAGCGGUAUUGUUUCUUCGGAAAUGAGAGAGCGGCGUACGGGUGCGUAACACGUGUGCAACCUGCCUUUAUCUGGGGGAUAGCCUUUCGAAAGGAAGAUUAAUACUCCAUAAUAUAUUGAACGGCAUCGUUUAACAUUGAAAGCUCCGGCGGAUAGAGAUGGGCACGCGCAAGAUUAGCUAGUUGGUGAGGUAACGGCUCACCAAGGCGAUGAUCUUUAGGGGGCCUGAGAGGGUGAUCCCCCACACUGGUACUGAGACACGGACCAGACUCCUACGGGAGGCAGCAGUGAGGAAUAUUGGUCAAUGGGUGCAAGCCUGAACCAGCCAUCCCGCGUGAAGGACGACUGCCCUAUGGGUUGUAAACUUCUUUUGUAUAGGGAUAAACCUACCCUCGAGAGGGUAGCUGAAGGUACUAUACGAAUAAGCACCGGCUAACUCCGUG
rnacentral:rRNA from 1 species